GUUAGUGAGAUGUUGUUCUCUUUGUCCAAUAAAGCACUUCAGAUUGUUUGUGUGUACAAAAUGGGUGAACACUGAGUCAAUGAUGACGGUAAACUACAUGUGCCUCCCUGUAUCAAAUAUUAGUAUUGUUGAAAUUGCAGUGAAAUCUAGUUUAGCCUCAUGGUGGGCUGAUAUUUGGGUACCAGAGUUGUCUGCGCACUACACUGAAUGUUCAAACACUGUUCUCCCUCCACAAAUUUACCUCUCAUAUAUAAUCUUUUCAGUUCGAUACUGCUGAGGCAGAUGGAGGACGAAUGCAUAGAAGACAACAAACACACUGAAGAUGAUCUAGAUAUAAACAACAGCAGCGACAUUACACGUCCCAACACACAGAAGCGUGUAUUGUGUGAGCUCCCUGCUCUCUGGGAGAAGAUAACAAAGGGCCCCCAUCGCCUUACUGAGCCGAGCAAAUACAAACAGGUUUGUUUGGUAUUGAAACAGUGUCGGCUGUUAAACGCCAAACCCAUAACAAAGGAGACGUGUCAUUAUGUUGAUAAAUCACCGCAUUGAUGCACUGAGCAAUAAUGUAUGCAGGUUUGGAAUUUCAGGUUUGGAUUUAUGGCACAUCAAUACUUCUCUAAGAGCUACUUCACAAAGUGUUUAUUGUGUGUUUCGGUACCUGGCUCUUGGACGCGGCCACCUUAGCGAACAGGGCUUGGGACACUUUGGCCC